GAUGAACGCUAGCGGCAGGCCUAACACAUGCAAGUCGAACGGUAAGUUGGGAGCUUGCUCCCAGCACGAGUGGCGCACGGGUGAGUAACGCGUAUGCAAUCUGCCUCCAACUGGAGAAUA
rnacentral:rRNA from 1 species